rnacentral:pre_miRNA from 1 species
AGCUUUUCGUAUCCGUGCUCAUAUUCGUCAGACAUCAACCCAUUAGGGCUGAUCAGACUUCCAAGAUAAGUGAAGUU